GACGAACGCUGGCGGCGUGCUUAACACAUGCAAGUCGAACGGGAACCUUUAUUUCGGUAAAGGUGAGAGUGGCAAACGGGUGAGUAACACGUAGGCAACCUGCCGACAGGAUGGGGACAACAUUCCGAAAGGAAUGCUAAUACCGAAUGGAGUCCGGAGAUGGCAUCAUCUCUGGAUAAAAGAUGGCCUCUGAAUAUGCUAUCGCCUGUCGAUGGGCCUGCGUCUGAUUAGCCAGUUGGCGGGGUAACGGCCCACCAAAGCGACGAUCAGUAGCCGGUCUGAGAGGAUGAACGGCCACAUUGGGACUGAGACACGGCCCAGACUCCUACGGGAGGCAGCAGUGGGGAAUCUUCCACAAUGGGCGAAAGCCUGAUGGAGCAACGCCGCGUGAGUGAAGAAGGUCUUCGGAUCGUAAAGCUCUGUUGCACGGGACGAAAACCGGGUUUGAGAAUAUUGA
rnacentral:rRNA from 1 species